GUCGAGGAUCUUUAGCAAUGCCCGAAAGGGUGACUAUGCGACGCCGCGUGCAGGAUGAAGGCCUUCGGGUUGUAAACUGCUGUCAGGGAGGAAGAAACCUCUGGUGUUAACAGCAUCAGAGCUGACAUUACUCCCAAAGGAAGCCACGGCUAACUCUGUGCCAGCAGCCGCGGUAAGACAGAGGUGGCAAGCGUUGUUCGGAUUUAUUGGGUGUAAAGGGUCCGUAGGCGGUCAAGCAAGUCUGAUGUGAAAUCCCAUGGCUCAACCGUGGAACUGCAUUGGAAACUGCAUGACUUGAGUACCGAAGAGGUAAAGGGAAUUCCCGGUGUAAGGGUGAAAUCUGUAGAUAUCGGGAGGAACACCAGUGGCGAAGGCGCUUUACUGGUCGGUUACUGACGCUGAGGGACGAAAGCAAGGGGAGCAAACAGGAUUAGAUACCCGAGUAGUCC
rnacentral:rRNA from 1 species